GACGAACGCUGGCGGCGUGCUUAACACAUGCAAGUCGAACGGGAACCUUUAUUUCGGUAAAGGUGAGAGUGGCAAACGGGUGAGUAACACGUAGGCAACCUGCCGACAGGAUGGGGACAACAUUCCGAAAGGAAUGCUAAUACCGAAUGGAGUCCGGAGAUGGCAUCGUCUCCGGAUAAAAGAUGGCCUCUGAAUAUGCUAUCGCCUGUCGAUGGGCCUGCGUCUGAUUAGCCAGUUGGCGGGGUAACGGCCCACCAAAGCGACGAUCAGUAGCCGGUCUGAGAGGAUGAACGGCCACAUUGGGACUGAGACACGGCCCAGACUCCUACGGGAGGCAGCAGUGGGGAAUCUUCCACAAUGGGCGAAAGCCUGAUGGAGCAACGCCGCGUGAGUGAAGAAGGUCUUCGGAUCGUAAAAGCUCUG
rnacentral:rRNA from 1 species